rnacentral:siRNA from 1 species
UUAUAAUUACCACCGAGCGGCG